GAUGAACGCUAGCUACAGGCUUAACACAUGCAAGUCGAGGGGAAACGGCAUUGAGUGCUUGCACUCUUUGGACGUCGACCGGCGCACGGGUGAGUAACGCGUAUCCAACCUUCCCAUUACUGUGGGAUAACCUGCCGAAAGGCAGACUAAUACCGCAUAGUCUUCGAUGACGGCAUCAGAUUUGAAGUAAAGAUUUAUCGGUAAUGGAUGGGGAUGCGUCUGAUUAGCUUGUUGGCGGGGUAACGGCCCACCAAGGCUACGAUCAGUAGGGGUUCUGAGAGGAAGGUCCCCCACAUUGGAACUGAGACACGGUCCAAACACCUACGGGAGGCAGCAGUGAGGAAUAUUGGUCAAUGGACGGAAGUCUGAACCAGCCAAGUAGCGUGCAGGAUGACGGCGCUAUGGGCUGUAAACUGCUUUUGGAUGGGGAUAAAGUUAGGGACGUGUCCCUAUUUGCAGGUACCAUACGAAUAAGGACCGGCUAAUUCCGUG
rnacentral:rRNA from 1 species